rnacentral:misc_RNA from 1 species
GAUGAAGAACGUAGCGAAAUGCGAUAAGUAAUGUGGAUUGCAGAAUUCAGUGAAUCAUCGAAUCUUUGAGCGCAACUUGCGCUCUCUGGUAUUCCGGAGAGCAUGCCUGUUUGAGUAUCAUGAAAUCUCAACCAUUAGGGUUUCUUAAUGGCUUGGAAUUGGGUGUUGCCAGUCGCCUGGCUCGCCUUAAAAGAGUUAGCGUGUUUAACUUGUCUAUCUGGCGUAAUAAGUUUCGCUGGUGUCGGCUUGAGAAGUACGCUUCUAAUCGUCUUCGGACAAUUCUUGAACUCUGGUCUCAAAUCAGGUAGGGCUACCCGCUGAACUUAAGCAUAUCAAUAAGCGGAGGA